rnacentral:lncRNA from 1 species
CUGCCUGGCAGGACCAUCAGCAGCAGGUUAGAGAGCAAAUGUUCAUGCAGAUGAGGAGCUUCCUCAGGAAUCUGUGGUCUGUAGAUGCCCUCAAGGGUCAACAUGUGCUUUCUUUGCUAAGAUUUGGGGAUUUCUGACUUCCUGCCAGCUUGGUACGGCAACAAGGUGAUUCUGGCUAGAGUCUCAGUAGGGCUGCCACCUCUCAGCAUGGUGCCAGGAGAGGGAGCCCUGGAGUCAUCAGCUCUGGACAGGCCUGGAGGUGGCCUUUCAAGUCCUCUGACCUGCGCAUCCUGUGUGUUGCAAGUGAAGGAUCUGACACUAGCCUUCAUUUUCACUCAGUCAUCAAGCUUUCUCCAUCUCCACUGGGUAUAGGGUUUGGACACUCAGAAAGAAUUCUAGAAUCCAGUGAUAGAUCCCAGAACCAGAGACAUCUAGAGAAUCCUAGAAAGGAAUUCUAGCAUCCAGCAAUUAGGCUUUUGAAUCCAGGUUCAACAGUAAAACAAUGGGGAGUGGAAUGGAGUUAGGACUACUGAAGACGAUGAUUAUCAUGUGAUGAGCACCUAAGCUGAACUGGACACUGUGCUGAGCACUUUCCAGCCACUAUCUCACUCAAAUGAGUUCAGGACCAGCGUGAGGAGGCUCCUGGCAGUUGCCCACAGGACCAGCGUGAGGAGGCUCCUGGCAGUUGGGCUGUUCCGGGCCGGCGGCAGGAGGGAGCUUGAUGCGUGCCUGGCGUGCGCAGGCCGAUGCCGCCGGCAGAAAAGA